UCCUCGGUAGCUCAAUGGUGGAGCGAUCGGCUGUUAACCGAUAGGUUACAGGUUCGAGUCCUGUCCGAGGAGCCA
rnacentral:tRNA from 1 species